CCGCAAUGGGCGAAAGCCUGACGGAGCAACGCCGCGUGAGGGAUGAAGGCCUCUGGGCUGUAAACCUCUUUUAUCAAGGAAGAAGAUCUGACGGUACUUGAUGAAUAAGCCACGGCUAAUUCCGUGCCAGCAGCCGCGGUAAUACGGGAGUGGCAAGCGUUAUCCGGAAUUAUUGGGCGUAAAGCGUCCGCAGGCGGCCCUACAAGUCUGCUGUUAAAAAGUGGAGCUUAACUCCAUCAUGGCAGUGGAAACUGAGGGGCUUGAGUGUGGUAGGGGCAGAGGGAAUUCCCGGUGUAGCGGUGAAAUGCGUAGAUAUCGGGAAGAACACCAGUGGCGAAGGCGCUCUGCUGGGCCAUCACUGACGCUCAUGGACGAAAGCCAGGGGAGCGAAAGGGAUUAGAUACCCCUGUAGUCCUGGCCGUAAACGAUGAACACUAGGUGUCGGGGGAAUCGACCCCUCCGGUGUCGUAGCCAACGCGUUAAGUGUC
rnacentral:rRNA from 1 species